rnacentral:ncRNA from 1 species
AUUCUGGUUGAUCCUGGCAGUAGUUAUAUGCUUGUCUCCAAGAUUAAGCCAUGCAUGUCUAAGUACACAUGCAUUAAAAGUGAAACCGCAAAAGGCUCAUUAUAUCAUUUAUGGUUCCUUAGAUCGUUAACAGUUACUUGGGCUAAAACCAAGUGAUCGCAAGAUCGUUAUAUUGGUUGAACUCUAGAUAACAUGCAGAUCGUAUGGUCUUGUACCGACGUUAG